GAUGAAGAACGCAGCGAAAUGCGAUAAGUAAUGUGAAUUGCAGAAUUCAGCGAAUCAUCGAAUCUUUGAACGCACAUUGCGCCCGCUAGUAUUCUGGCGGGCAUGCCUGUCCGAGCGUCAUUUCAACCCUCAAGCCCCCGGGCUUGGUGUUGGGGAUCGGCGAGCCUCCGCGCCCGCCGUCCCCUAAAUCUAGUGGCGGUCUCGCUGUAGCUUCCUCUGCGUAGUAGCACACCUCGCACUGGGAAACAGCGCGGCCACGCCGUUAAACCCCCAACUUCUGAACGUUUGACCUCGGAUCAGGUAGGAAUACCCGCUGAACUUAAGCAUAUCAAUAAGCGGAGGA
rnacentral:misc_RNA from 1 species